UACGUAGGGUGCGAGCGUUAAUCGGAAUUACUGGGCGUAAAGCGUGCGCAGGCGGUGAGCUGUGUCCGAUGUGAAAGCCCCGGGCUUAACCUGGGAAUGGCAUUGGAAACUGGCUCGCUGGAGUGUGGCAGAGCGGGGUGGAAUUCCGCGUGUAGCAGUGAAAUGCGUAGAGAUGCGGAGGAACACCGAUGGCGAAGGCAGCCCCCUGGGCUAACACUGACGCUCAGGCACGAAAGCGUGGGGAGCAAACAGG
rnacentral:rRNA from 1 species